AUUGAACGCUGGCGGCAUGCCUUACACAUGCAAGUCGAACGGCAGCACGGGGGCAACCCUGGUGGCGAGUGGCGGACGGGUGAGUAAUGCAUCGGAACGUGCCCUGAAGUGGGGGAUAACGCAGCGAAAGCUACGCUAAUACCGCAUAUUCUGUGAGCAGGAAAGCAGGGGAUCGCAAGACCUUGCGCUUUGGGAGCGGCCGAUGUCGGAUUAGCUAGUUGGUGGGUAAAGGCCUACCAAGGCGACGAUCCGUAGCGGGUCUGAGAGGAUGAUCCGCCACACUGGGACUGAGACACGGCCCAGACUCCUACGGGAGGCAGCAGUGGGGAAUUUUGGACAAUGGCGAAAGCCUGAUCCAGCCAUGCCGCGUGAGUGAAGAAGGCCUUC
rnacentral:rRNA from 1 species